UACGGGGGGGGCAAGCGUUGUUCGGAAUUACUGGGCGUAAAGGGCUCGUAGGCGGCCAACUAAGUCCGACGUGAAAUCCCCAGGCUCAACCUGGGAACUGCGUCGGAUACUGGAUGGCUUGAAUUCGGGAGAGGGAUGCAGAAUUCCAGGUGUAGCGGUGAAAUGCGCAGAUAUCAGGAGGAACACCGGUGGCGAAGGCGGGUCUCUGGGCAACAACUGACGCUGAGGAGCGAAAGCGUGGGGAGCGAACAGG
rnacentral:rRNA from 1 species